CAAUAUAUUUUUUGAUAUUAUUGACCAUGGCAUGCUUUGCACAUGCAUGAUUACUAACAAAGCAAUUCUAAGAAACAUUAAUUCUUGUGCUUACAAUAUAUUGUUUGAUCAUAUUGACCAUGACAUGCUUUGUACAUGCAAUGAUUACUAAUAAUAGUAAUUAUAGGUUGUAUGUCAAUAGAUAUGCAGUAUGCACACCUUGAGGCAUUCACACACUGACACACAAGUUCCAGGCGCUUGGACUUCCUGCACCUGUGCACCCUUUGGCAUACAUCCAUUGCUCAUCUCCCGGAAAUUUCCUCAAUGUGCAUUAGUUCUCAAGCCACUACAAACCAUUAUUGAAAUUAAAAUAGCAUAGGAUUAAUAAACAGAAAUACAAGGAAAUUAAGCAGAUCCCAAAAUACUGAAACCAACCCAAAAGUUUUUAAGAGGAAGAUUACUACUGCAGUGUCUGUUCUACCACUUUUAUCAAAAGCAAAAACUGUUUCUCACAAGUUCUAGCUGUCCUGUUGGCGCCCUUGCAUCGAUUGCCCUAUCCAAAAUGAUUUGCGAUGUGCAAUCAAACACCCCCAAACUUUGUACCAGAUCAAUUCUCGAUAAUGAAAUCGUCCUAGGUAAAAUGCACAACCCGAGGACCCGCGUGCCAACUACUUCGUAGUAGCAUAUAACAGGGAAUCAAGCCCAGGAACAACACUAGCGGCAACUUUCUUCGGUGGAAAUAAACACGCAGCGACUGAACAAAAUCCGUAACAACGAGGAUUGGGGAGAAGUAGGGAAGCAAAGCUCGCGGGAAGGAACCCUAACGAACAAAAUUUUUGCUCGAAACAAACUUGAAUCCGUAACUAACUAGGCACUCCAACACGCAGCGAUCGAACAAAUCAGCACCAAAAUACUAAACAAUUUGGGCUCGAUUCGAUUCCCCACAUCAAACAGCAGUCGAGCGCAGGAGGGGGAGGAUGAGGAGGGCGAGGGGGAGCGAAGCGCGCGUACCUUGAGGGAGCCGAGGCGGCGGCGGCAUGCGGC
rnacentral:lncRNA from 1 species